GCUGCUGGAUGGGGGGGAGCCCGCUCCGGGCGGCGCCCCGGCACCCCGAGCCGGAACCCCGGGCCUCUGGAGGCUCCCGGCACCCAGGGAUGCCCCGGACAAGGGCAGCAGGUCCUGGCGCUCUGCCUCCCUCCAUGAGAGACCCUCCCUGGAUGAAGAGGCCCGAGCCCCGCUGCGGGACCGGGGGCGUCCCUCCGUGUCCCCCCCCAGGGCGGGGAGCUGGGAGAGGCUCUCGCUGGCCGAGCGGGUGGAGAGGAACCGGCGGCUGCUGCAGGAGGUGCUGGGCCUUGCCGCACCCGGUGUGUACUUUGGGAAGGUGGUGGCUCUUUCAGGACAACGCGGGGAACUGGGAGGGAAAACCUUUGGGAUGAUGGGAGUCCUCCGGACCAGCCUCCAGCCUCCCUGCUGCCUCACACCCCAGGGCUGUCCCACCCCCUUCAGCGGGAUGUAGGAGAUGCUCGGGAGAUGCUCUGGGUGAUACCAGUCAGUCCCGUCUGGUGUCGUGGUGAGGAAUUUCACUGCUAAAAGCAGGAAACUCAAUUUCUGGGACACGCCAGGUCUGGGGGCAUCACUGUCCCUUUGCAAGCUGCCACCAGAAAAGAGAGUUAAUUUCUCCUUUGAUAGCAUCUGCCCCAGUGACCCCAUGGCCUCAGUCCCACACCUGCAGCCAGGUGCUGUUCCGCCCCUUUGGGCUCUCCCAGAGCCAGACAUCUGGGAGAGCCCUGUGGAGGGUGUUGGGAUGGGAUAUAUGGGAGGUGCUAUCAAGAGGAUGGGGGCUGCCAUCCAACCAGGCUAAUGCCUUUCCCUGUCCUGCAUUUCAGAGAUGCCAGCGAGCGACGGGGACUGGGACUCAGGGGUUUCGCUGCAGGACGCUGAGGGCUGCAGGGCCUUUGUCGCCGGGCAGGAGCUGGAGCUGAGCCCGCGGCACGAGCAGGCCAAGCAGCUGCUGCAGCGCGCCCGCAUGAAGGCUCGGACGAACCCCCUGCGCGCCAGCCACGACAUCCUCCUCCUCCCCAGCGCCGUCCCGCAGCCCAGGUCAGUGUCUCCUUCCUGCCCCCGCCGCCUUGCCAGCCCUGCAGGCUUUGGGGCACGGACGCGGCGUGCAGGGUGUGCUGGGAGCCGGGAUCCGACCCCGCUGCGCGCACGGUGCGGCCUCGGAGCGCGGAUGCGCCCGAGCUCUUCGCGGCGGGGCUCGGGGGGCGCUUGGUUGUGUUUUGUGAUCGCACGGAAGCGUCGGGGGUGGGAGGAUGGCGUUUCCCAGCUCAUGGGGAAUGUUUUCCCGGGUGAGACUCGCUGCUGGGGGCUGGACCACAGCGGCGCCUGGCCGUGUGUGCCAGGUCAUGCGCGAUGUGGCGUUCCCGG
rnacentral:lncRNA from 1 species